GACGAACCGUGCAAACGUUAUUCGGAAUCACUGGGCAUAAAGGGCGCGUAGGCGGCUUUCUAAGUCAGGGGUGAAAUCCGGCAGCUCAACUGUCGCAGUGCCUUUGAUACUGGGAAGCUCGAGGGAUGUAGGGGUCUGUGGAACUCCGGUGGAGCGGUGAAAUGCGUUGAUAUCGGGAAGAACACCCGUGGCGAAGGCGGCUCUCUGGGACGGUACCGACGCUGAGACGCGAAAGCGUGGGGAGCGAACAGG
rnacentral:rRNA from 1 species